GACGAACGCUGGCGGCGUGCUUAACACAUGCAAGUCGAACGGAAAGGCCCUGCUUUUGUGGGGUGCUCGAGUGGCGAACGGGUGAGUAACACGUGAGUAACCUGCCCUUGACUUUGGGAUAACUUCAGGAAACUGGGGCGAAUACCGGAUAGGAGCUCCUGCUGCAUGGUGGGGGUUGGUAAGUUUCGGCGGUUGGGGAUGGACUCGCGGCUUAUCAGCUUGUUUGUGGGGUAGUGGCUUACCAAGGCUUUGACGGGUAGCCGGCCUGAGAGGGUGACCGGCCACAUUGGGACUGAGAUACGGCCCAGACUCCUACGGGAGGCAGCAGUGGGGAAUAUUGCACAAUGGGCGGAAGCCUGAUGCAGCAACGCCGCGUGCGGGAUGACGGCCUUCGGGUUGUAAACCGCUUUCGCCUGUGACGAAGCGUGAGUGACGGUAAUGGGUAAAGAAGCACCGGCUAACUACGUG
rnacentral:rRNA from 1 species